rnacentral:lncRNA from 12 species
CCAGAAAAGAGACACAGAGAACACGUCCCCAGCUCCUACUGUAUAGCAGUGACUAUUAAAGGCUGGCUCUCUAGGCUUCACAUCUUCUUUGGGACCGAAGCAGACAAGGGGACACUGCCUAUGUUCUGUAACAGAGGGCUCACAAGAUUUAUAAACAUAAAGGAUGUAAUUCUAAAGUGGCACAACUUCUCCAGAAAUGAGACACAGAGAUCACGUGCCCAGCUCCUACUGUGUAGCAGUGACUAUAAAGGCNNNNNNNNNNGUUCACCCAGGAUAUGUGUAAGAAAGAGGUUGGGUUUUCGAAGCCUUUCACAAAAUCUUGUCACAAAAGAAAUGUGUAUGUUAGACCACGAUACAUGUAUAAAAGAUGAUAUGGUUUUUGAAAGCGUGUCACACACAAAAGUUGUCACAAAAAAUAACUAGGUUCAGCCAGGAGACGUGUAAAACACAGGACAAGGUUUUGAAGUCUUUUUCACAAAAUAGUAUUAAAAAAUACCUAUGUUCAGCCAAGAUAUGUGGAAAAAAGAGGACAGGGUUUUUUGAAACUUUUCACAAAAUAUUGUCACAAAAGAUACCUAUUUUUUUUUUUAAUUUUGUGACUUUUUAUUUUUUUUUAAUUUUUUUUAUUUAUUUAUGAUAGUCACAGAGAGAGAGAGAGAGAGAGGCAGAGACACAGGCAGAGGGAGAAGCAGGCUCCAUGCACUGGGAGCCCGAUGUGGGAUUCCUUCCCGGGUCUCCAGGAUAGCGCCCUAGGCCGAAGGCAGGCGCCAAACCACUGCGCCACCUAGGGAUCCCAAAAGAUACCUAUAUUUAGCCAGCAUAUGUGUAGAAAAGAAGACGGGGUUUUUUUUUUUUUUUUUUUUUUUUGAAGCUUUUCACAAAAUAUUGGAACAAAAAGUACCUCUGUAUCACUAUGAUAUGUAUAAAAAUGACAAGGUUAUCAGAAGCUUCUCACAAAAUAUUGUCACUAUAAAUCCUGUAUUUGGCCAGCUUAUGUGUGUGAUAAAGAACAGGGCUUUUUGAACUUUUUCACAAAAUAUUGAAACUGAAAAUACCUACAUUUUGCCACAAUAUGUAUAAACAAGAGGAGAAGGGGUUUUUUCAACCCUCUCACAAGAAGCAAUGUUAGGAGGCAUGAGGGGAAAAAAAAAACAAUGGCUUUCGUUGAGAUAAAAAACAUCCGAUUGACAUGUUUGAGAUAAAAAAACACCCGAUUGAGAUGUUUGAGAUAAAAAACAUCGGAUUAAAAAAAAUCCGAUUGAGAUGUUUGAGAUAAAAAACAUCCAAUUUCAAAAAAAAAAUCCAAUUUCAAACUUUAUGGGGUUAUUUUUAUUGAUGGAGGAUUUUCCUUACAUUUGUGGAGCCUAUAAAAAGGCCACAGGGUCAUUGACUCAAAUCAUAAGCAAAUUAUUAGUAGUCAUAU